UUAGACAAAAAUCAUUUUCCCAAAAAUUGUGAAUAACCUCACUUGAAAACCUUUUUCCAAAAUAGGAGUCAAAACUCCUCAUUUUCCUUUUAUUUUCUUAAGUAAAAAUCUUAAUGAAUUUUAAUCAUACUUAGACUUUAUUUUGCAAAAUAACUAAUUCCACCUCACAUUUUCCAAAUCUCAUGCCCUUGAGGCCUCUCAUCU
rnacentral:lncRNA from 1 species